AUUGAACGCUGGCGGCAUGCCUUACACAUGCAAGUCGAACGGCAGCACGGGUGCUUGCACCUGGUGGCGAGUGGCGAACGGGUGAGUAAUACAUCGGAACAUGUCCUGUAGUGGGGGAUAGCCCGGCGAAAGCCGGAUUAAUACCGCAUACGAUCUACGGAUGAAAGCGGGGGACCUUCGGGCCUCGCGCUAUAGGGUUGGCCGAUGGCUGAUUAGCUAGUUGGUGGGGUACAGGCCUACCAAGGCGACGAUCAGUAGCUGGUCUGAGAGGACGACCAGCCACACUGGGACUGAGACACGGCCCAGACUCCUACGGGAGGCAGCAGUGGGGAAUUUUGGACAAUGGGCGAAAGCCUGAUCCAGCAAUGCCGCGUGUGUGAAGAAGGCCUUCGGGUUGUAAAGCACUUUUGUCCGGAAAGAAAUCCUUGGCCCUAAUACGGUCGGGGGAUGACGGUACCGGAAGAAUAAGCACCGGCUAACUACGUG
rnacentral:rRNA from 1 species